UACACCGUAGAGCCGUACCAGCUUUCAGCCCGGAGUCGGGACAUUCGCAGUUCGAAGUUUGUAGUCCGGGGAUCGGUAGUCUGUACUGCCAAGUUCGUUGUCCGUACGUCCAGUGGAAUGGAGUGGCCAUGGCCAUGGCGGUGCGGUUACUGCGUCAUCAUCUCGGGACUCCAGUUGGCCAAUGCAAUCAAAAACGAUUCGCAUCCGCAAUAUCAGCGAUGACCUCAAAAUCAACAUGGCAGCCCGGCCAACCAAUUUAUUUGUUGACCCGUUGGCAAUGCAGUCAAUUUUUCCAACUGCCAGACAGCAGACUACGGACUACAGACUACGGACUGUGGACUACGGACUACGGACUACGGACUAUGGACCACGGAAUACAGACUACGGACUACGGAGGCCCAAUCUGUCCUGCUCGCUUGUUUGUCCGCCGUGCUGGAUAUAAACCUUUGAGUCGCAAUUUUUACGUUCGACUGCGGAAGACCACAAAAUAAUGACAGGAAAUUAUCUCGCAGCAGACGGGUUGCUCUGCUCGUUGGCCGGCAUCCAAAACAAUUUCACUCUGUUGUGAUCCCCAUUUCCAUUCCCAUUCCCCGAACGCCGUGAUAUUCCAUGCCGGAUGGGCUGCAAUCGUAGGCUGAUUCCAACUAAUUCCGGGACUUAUCGGAGCCAAUAAGGGCAAUUUGCAAAGUGCGGUUAAGUUUUUGACAAAGCCUAGCCGACUUCAAAGGGAAACUUUCAAAAUAAUACCCGAGGUAUUUUGAUUCCAGACAAUUGUAACUUGUAUAUUAGCCACGAGCCAAUGUACUCAACUAAUUGCAGUGAUUUGUAGUCGAGUUUUACAAUAAAUGCAAACGGAGCCCUAAGUGCAUUUACCACUUCAAAGUGAGUCAUUAACGAGAGCGUGUUGGCAAAUACAUAGAUUGAUUUAACCGCCUUCGAGUAAUGGACAUUGGACAUUAGACAUCCAGCUAGUGUGUUUGCUCAAUAAACACACGAUGUAAUUUCUAAAUCCAGAAUAAACAUUCGGUGCUGCGUGAGGAGAGUGGGCAAAUCAAAUGUGCAGCUGCUAAUAUGAAAUGUACACAGACGGAAGAGUUAAUCCUCAUCGACAAUUUGACAUCAGCAGUUUCGAUGCUUUUGCUUUCAAAUAACGGAAGCCAUUAAGUUGUCACAUGCAGGCGGCGAUCCCAGUGCCAGUGCCAUAAAAAAAAUAAAUACGUAUACGCCCGGUUGGCUGGCCUCACAUCGGACUCUGACUCGGAUUCGGAUUCGGAUGGGGAUUCGGCUUGGGAUUGGGAUUCGGCAACGGGUUUUGUGCCGGGAUAUGGGCCAUGAUGGUGGUGCAUUUGGGAAAAGCAAGCCACAAGUGGUCAUUCAGACAAAUGGCCAAAUGGCGGUGCUCAUGAAUAAUUCAGAUUUUAAAUUGCAUUUAUGCAAAUGCGGAUGCUCGCAGAUUUUCGCCACUGGCUGUCGCGUUAGUCCGGCACAAAAAGAGGCCCCGUAGUGGGGUAUCCACUACCACCCGUAACCGGGGAAACCUCCGAUCCUCCGAAAACCCGUGAACCCGUGAACCCGAGGGCAAUGCAUUUGCAACUUAAUGCGUCGAAAGCUGCGAGUUUUUGCGCUAAUGCACAAUUUGUAUGCGUCAACACUUUCGUCAGCCCAAAAAAUGGGCAGGAUGCAGCCUCGUCCUUAUCAAAAACCCUAUUGAUAGGACUGGAAGACACCGGCAGCUCCAAAGAAAUGGAGGCCAAGUGACUCAGUGACCUGCAAGACAUAAAAUCCCGUCCAAUCCGGGGCCACCUGUUCCCCGGGCCAACUCUUUGGCAAUUUGUGUGCAUCGCCGACUGCAGAUGUUUUUCCUCCACUCAGUUCGAGGUCUCGCUCCAGAAACUUGCAGAUUUAUUGCCCAGAAACUUUUAUUGCCUGCAAGAAUAUGUACGGGCCGAGAUAAAGAUGCAAUCUGGAACUUGUUUGGCGAGUGAAACACUUUGCCAUCUGCCAUCUGAAAGUGUGUGGGGUAAUUGAAGUCACUCAGUCGAGGAGGUGGCACUUUUCCAGGUCGCCUUUGUCUGUCUGUCUGUCUGUCUGUCUGUGCGUUUCCAUUUCGGUUCCGUUCCAAAGAUUUAGGCAAUUGAAGGACAAUUAAACAUAGGAGUCAACUGAUUUUUUGUACAAGUCCGGCUGCUUGAUAUGUGCCCUCAAAUGCAAAGUGGAUCGCAAACAUGCCUAGUAGUUAAUACGAACGAAUAAAUGGAAUAAAGAAUUCACAAAAAGGUUCUCUUCGCCACUGAAUGUCAGUUCACCUUAAGCCCGAUUGUAAGAUGCUAACCAUUUGGGACACUCUAAUGGCAGCUCUUCG